GUUUAAAUAGCUUAUAUAGAGUAUAACACUGAAGAUGUUAAGGAAAUUAUUAGAAUUUUUAAACG
rnacentral:tRNA from 1 species